rnacentral:rRNA from 1 species
UACGUAGGGUGCGAGCGUUAAUCGGAAUUACUGGGCGUAAAGCGUGCGCAGGCGGUUUUGUAAACCAGAUGUGAAAGCCCCGGGCUUAACCUGGGAAUGGCAUUUGGGACUGCAAGGCUUGAGUGCGGCAGAGGAGACUGGAAUUCCUGGUGUAGCAGUGAAAUGCGUAGAGAUCGGGAGGAACAUCAGUUGCGAAGGCGGCCACCUGGACCAGCACUGACACUGAGGCACGAAAGCGUGGGGAGCAAACAGG